rnacentral:rRNA from 1 species
AUUGAACGCUGGCGGCAGGCCUAACACAUGCAAGUCGAGCGAGCGGCGGACGGGUGAGUAAUUUCUGGGAAACUGCCUGAUGGAGGGGGAUAACUACUGGAAACGGUAGCUAAUACCGCAUACCAUCAGAUGUGCCCAGAUGGGAUUAGCUAGUAGGGGGGGUAACGGCUCACCUAGGCGACGAUCCCUAGCUGGUCUGAGAGUGUGAACAGCCACACUGGAACUGAGAUACGGUCCAGACACCUACGGGAGGCAGCAGUUGGGAAAAUUGCACAAUGGGCGCAAGCCUGAUGCAGCCAUGCCGGGUGUGUGAAGAAGGACUUCGGGUUGUAAAGCACUUUCAGCGGGGAGGCGUUACCCGCAGAAGAAGCACCGGCUAACUCCGUGCCAGCAGCCGCGGUAAUAC